rnacentral:rRNA from 1 species
UACAGAGGUCCCAAGCGUUGUUCGGAUUCACUGGGCGUAAAGGGUGCGUAGGCGGUCGGGUAAGUCUGAUGUGAAAUCUCACAGCUUAACUGUGAAACUGCAUUGGAUACUAUCCGGCUCGAGGAAUGGAGGGGAGACUGGAAUACUUGGUGUAGCAGUGAAAUGCGUAGAUAUCAAGUGGAACACCAGUGGCGAAGGCGGUUCUCUGGGCAUUACCUGACGCUGAGGAGCGAAAGCAUGGGGAGCGAACAGG